CGAAAAUGUAAAAGGGAGGCCGAAGUCGGAACCUGGGAGCCGGAAACAGAGAGCUUGCUCUCGGGUGACGAGUGGCGGACGGGUGAGUAAUGUCUGGGAAACUGCCUGAUGGAGGGGGAUAACUACUGGAAACGGUAGCUAAUACCGCAUAACGUCGCAAGACCAAAGAGGGGGACCUUCGGGCCUCUUGCCAUCAGAUGUGCCCAGAUGGGAUUAGCUAGUAGGUGGGGUAAUGGCUCACCUAGGCGACGAUCCCUAGCUGGUCUGAGAGGAUGACCAGCCACACUGGAACUGAGACACGGUCCAGACUCCUACGGGAGGCAGCAGUGGGGAAUAUUGCACAAUGGGCGCAAGCCUGAUGCAGCCAUGCCGCGUGUAUGAAGAAGGCCUUCGGGUUGUAAAGUACUUUCAGCGGGGAGGAAGGUGUUGUGGUUAAUAACCGCAGCAAUUGACGUUACCCGCAGAAGAAGCACCGGCUAACUCCGUGCCAGCAGCCGCGGUAAUACGGAGGGUGCAAGCGUUAAUCGGAAUUACUGGGCGUAAAGCGCACGCAGGCGGUCUGUCAAGUCGGAUGUGAAAUCCCCGGGCUCAACCUGGGAACUGCAUUCGAAACUGGCAGGCUAGAGUCUUGUAGAGGGGGGUAGAAUUCCAGGUGUAGCGGUGAAAUGCGUAGAGAUCUGGAGGAAUACCGGUGGCGAAGCGGCCCCUGGACAAGGA
rnacentral:rRNA from 1 species